rnacentral:tRNA from 1 species
GACCGAAUGGCGUAGUGGUUAGUGAGCCGAUGGUCCCGGGUUCGAUUCCCGGCUGGGGCA